UUCUGUAUUUCCUUGUCCUUAAGCUAAUGAGGUAAGCUGUCAAUCAAUGUAUGUCACGGUGUCACCUUAACCCCAUUGGUUGAUCGGUAUCAGAGUGCGAAGAUGGACUUUCCAUGCCUGGGGUUGCUAUGACUACCUUAGUAAACAAAAGACUGCACACACGCAAUAGAUAGCGAGAUAUGAGAGUUUUGGCUAGCUAACCUUGCUAAAAAAAGUGCUAGUCAAGAUGUUUAACUUUUUCGCGUUGAGGCUCUGGAUACCAAUUUGUACCAUUUAGCUGCCUGCAGAGUCAUAAAGAGAAAGAGUUGCGUCAAUUGCCUUUACGUUCAUGGUACUGUACUGUACUGUAGGCUAGUUAGAACUAGAGCGAGCUAGCAUCAGUUUCAAACACAGCAGCAUCGUCGUUGAGGAACAGUUGUACUGUACUGUAUGAUGGAGUUGUGCCAAGUCUGGCAUUGCUACUGAUGUUGAUGUGAGCUGAAAAGGAGGCCCAGUGCCUUGGAGGUGGAUGUCAGACCACUGGACGAAGGAGCGCUGGAUGGGAGACCACUAGUUGAAGGAGCGCUGGAUGGGAGACCACUGGAUGAGAGAUUUCUGGAUGAGGGAAAAUGUGAUGGAGUGGGCUGUCUUAUAUUUAAACCACAGUAUUUUUGUCAUUACUAUGCUUUUAAUUGUGGUCGUUAUUGAGUUAUAUUGAGUUUGCUCCUGUAGACUUUAGCAAACCACCUCUUUCUCCUCUCACUAUCAGCUGGGAAGCCGUAGCCUACAUCACGACUCCCUAUUUGGAGCAUGCAAUACAUCCCCAUGCAUCACACCCAACCAUUAUGAAAUCCAAGAUGCUAGGUGCAAGACCAAGACAGCGCGGUGUAGACAAAAGCGUUACCUUUAUUGUGUCACCCUUUACACUCUUUUCAUAGCAGAGACUAAAAUAACAUGUGUACAUAUUUGAAUAGUCAUGUUGACUAUCAUGUAGUUGUACUGUAGCCUUUCACAACCAAGUCCUUGAGGUUUAAUCAUUGUGCACUACACAUGCAUAAAAUGAUACUAUAUAGUAGGGAAAGAUUAAAUAAAGAUGCAGAACAAAC